rnacentral:rRNA from 1 species
CCUACGGGAGGCUGCAGUGGGGAAUAUUGGGCAAUGGGCGCAAGCCUGACCCAGCAACGCCGCGUGAAGGAAGAAGGCUUUCGGGUUGUAAACUUCUUUUCUCAGGGACGAAGCAAGUGACGGUACCGGAGGAAUAAGCAACGGCUAACUACGGGCCAGCAGCCGCGGGAAUACGUAGGUGGCAAGCGUUAGCCGGAUUUACUGGGUGUAAAGGGCGUGUAGGCGGGACUGCAAGUCAGAUGUGAAAACCACGGGCUCAACCGGUGGCCUGCAUUUGAAACGGUAGUUCUUGAGUACUGGAGAGGCAGCCGGAAUUCCUAGUGUAGCGGUGAAAUGCGUAGAUAUUAGGAGGACCCCCAGUGGCGAAGGCGGUCUGCUGGACAGCAACUGACGCUGAGGCGCGAACGCGUGGGGAGCAAACAGGAUUAGAUACCCCUGUAGUC